UUUUUUGUGAAAUCUAUUAUAGCCUAUUUGUUUAAGUAACUAAAUUUCUAGCCUCUCUUAUGGUGUAGAUAAUACUUUGUUCUGCUGUGAAGCUUUUCCGUAAGGGAAAGAAGGAUACAACGAUUGGAGAGUUAAACAAAUUCUAUAUUGAUGUUUGCAAAUCUACUAAGAUACCACCCGUCGGGAUAAUGGAACUUUCAUGCAUGUGUAGAGUGCUUGGUGAUCAGGGAAUCCUCAAACUUAAACAAUCUCGAGAUGAUAAGUUAAGGAGAGUAACUCUGCAGGUAGAUGAAGCAGACAUCAUGUUUGCAUUGCAGGGCAUCCGGUUCUUUCGAAACUGUCUGCAGUAAAUUUUGACCACCUAGAGUCGUGAUAUCUUAAAGCUGGCAGUGAAGACUGAACCUUGUUCAACCUAAAUGUAAAGGUUAGAAGUAGAGCCUUUUCAACUUACAUCUCAUAAGCUUCAGAUGUGACGUGCUUGUAUACCAAAGUUUCAAACUUAUAUUUGUCUGCGGUGCAAUGAAACAAGGCAGCAAAGCUCAGCAAUAUUUACAUAGAUUCUUCAAUUUUCUGGUUAUAUAGAAUUUAGUACUUGUAAUGUUAUACAAAGAAGCAAAGUAGUACAUAACAAUUGGAAUUUUGAUUGAAGUUAUAAAGCUAUGUGAAUCAAUUUUCUCUGCAUAA